AGCAAUCUUUAUUACUGAUAAGUAAAUGAAUGACCUUUGUGGAAACAGAGAAUAAAUUCAGAAUUCACUACAGUCUCUGAACCCAAAACUCCAAUGGGAUCAAAAUGAGCCUGGAGACCGUAGCAGAUCAGUGAACAAAGAUAAAAAUAAUCAGCGUAUUAAACACUAUUUCACUCAGGAGGAUUGGACCACGGAUAUGUGCUGUGACCAAAACCUGUGACCUGCAAUGAAAUGAAGAACAUUCUUGCAGUGUCAAAAGGUGGAUUCUGUUAUGCAGCUGUAGUAACCACCAUCAGGAUGUCUGUAGCAAGCUGAGAUUUUGACACUUCGCAGAGACACAUACCAGAACAUUUAAAAAAAAAAAA